UUCAUAUUCAACGUUCAUGGCAGAACUUCAAGCUAGUGGAGCUCGUUUGUGCAAACAAACCAUCCCCGAGUUGUCACAAUCUGCUGAGAAAGCCAUAGAUACUCUCAAGAACCGUUAUGCGAUCCAUUCAACUUCAGCUUGUUGAAGGCAUUGGCAGUUUAGGGAUAAUUUUCGAGUGAAUGGAUGGGAAAUAGGAAAACUGAAUCGGAAAGGUGUUUUGAGACGGUGGGAGUUUAAAAUUGCAGUUUUUAGAAGAAUAUGCACAACAUGCAAAUUUGAGUGCUUAGUCUUGUAAAUUCAUAUCUUCUAGAUGCAUUUACUUCCAUCUUCCUGGUUCAUCCACCCUUAUAUUGGCUUAACCUGGUAAUUCUCUAUUAGAAUAUUACUUUCUUGCAUAUGCCACACGAAGAGAAGAUACUUGAAAAGAAU